CAGAUGGCGGGUAGGAUGGUGAAUUAGUGAUGCCGCACCAGGGGGUCAUGUUCCUUCCAGUGUCUUCCGUGCACUGUCCCCAGGGGAGGUGAGAUGCAUGGAGUAAGACAUUGAGAGGCCCAGCAGCAGGGAGUGGCCGAGAGAGCCCCGCAGACCCUUGACCACCCCCCUUGCCCACCCCAGGGACAGCAGGCUUUGGUUGC
rnacentral:lncRNA from 1 species